CGACUUCGUCCUCGUCGGGGUCGAAUUCCUUUCGUCCUCCGUUAAACCACCUGCACAGCGGAGAACACCGACGCGCAGAAGAUCACAUCCACAGCACAACCGGACAACCGAUCCGCCACCCAACCGGAGCCCCAUUACGAUCUAGAACACCCGAACUGCAACCCCGCGACCCGACGACUUGACCCGACCGGAAAUCUCUCCUCCGGCCAUCUCUCCGCGGCGGACCACCGGAAAAAGCUUCGUCUCGCAGUCGCCUACGUCCCUGCGAUCUCCGAUUGUACAUGCAGCUGGGGCGUUACUGUAUAUAUAUAUCGCCUCGCCUCCCUCGACCCAGAACCUACCCUUCGUCUCCGUCAACAACAGCAACACGUCCAAGAUCUCCGCUUCAUCAGCGUCUACAACAGCACCACGUUGCCGCCGUCGGCCCAGAACCUCGCCGUCGCCGCCCUCGGCCCAGAACGUCGCCCGCAUCUCCUGUCGGUUCAGUUUGACAACGAUCUCGGCUUCGACUCCCUCUCUUCGCCACCACAACCACAACCACAACACUCUGACGGAGCCGUCAGCGGAGACACCGACGCCGACUAGUUGUCUCUGUUCUGCAGGUGGUUUAAUGGAAGAGGCUUCGAAUCGGCGUGCCUCACUGCCUCCCAUGUCAACUGUACCCAUCCGAUAAUCAGCCGCGGUUUGGUAACCGCGCG
rnacentral:lncRNA from 1 species